rnacentral:rRNA from 1 species
UACGGGGGGGGCAAGCGUUGUUCGGAAUUACUGGGCGUAAAGGGCUCGUAGGUGGCCCCAUAAGUCAGACGUGAAAUCCCUCGGCUCAACCGAGGAACUGCGUCUGAGACUGUGGGGCUUGAAUCCGGGAGAGGGAUGCGGAAUUCCAGGUGUAGCGGUGAAAUGCGUAGAUAUCUGGAGGAACACCGGUGGCGAAGGCGGCAUCCUGGACCGGUAUUGACACUGAUGAGCGAAAGCCAGGGGAGCAAACGGG